UGGGGAAUCUUGCGCAAUGGGCGAAAGCCUGACGCAGCGACGCCGCGUGAGUGAUGAAGGCCUUCGGGUUGUAAAGCUCUGUGGAGAGGGACGAAUAAGUGUUGGCUAACAUCCAGCAUGAUGACGGUACCUCUUUAGCAAGCACCGGCUAACUCUGUGCCAGCAGCCGCGGUAAGACAGAGGGUGCAAACGUUGUUCGGAAUUACUGGGCGUAAAGCGCGUGUAGGCUGUUCUGCAAGUCGGAUGUGAAAGCCCUGGGCUCAACCUAGGAAGUGCACUCGAAACUGCAGAACUCGAGUCCUGGAGAGGAAGGCGGAAUUCUCGGUGUAGAGGUGAAAUUCGUAGAUAUCGAGAGGAACACCGGUGGCGAAGGCGGCCUUCUGGACAGUGACUGACGCUGAGACGCGAAAGCGUGGGGAGCAAACAGGAUUAGAUACCCCCGUAGUCC
rnacentral:rRNA from 1 species